rnacentral:rRNA from 1 species
AAUGAGCGUUGGCGGCGUGGAUUAGGCAUGCAAGUCGUGCGAUAACCCCGCAAGGGGGGAAAGCGGCGAAAGGGAGAGUAACGCGUGGGUACCUGCCCCUUGGUCCGGAAUAGCUGCGGGAAACUGCAGGUAAUGCCGGAUAAUAUCCUCGGAUCAAAGGUGUGAUUCCGCCGAGGGAGGGGCCCGCGUUCUAUUAGCUAGUUGGUAGGGUAAUGGCCUACCAAGGCGACGAUGGAUACCGGGUGUGAGAGCAUGACCCGGCUCACUGGGACUGAGACACUGCCCAGACGCCUACGGGUGGCUGCAGUCGAGAAUCUUCGGCAAUGGGCGCAAGCCUGACCGAGCGACACCGCGUGCGGGAUGAAGGCCUUCGGGUUGUAAACCGCUGUCGUAGAGGAGGAAAUGCCAUGGGGUUCUCUCCAUGGUUUGACCUAUUCUAGGAGGAAGGACGGGCUAAGUUCGUGCCAGCCGCCGCCGUAA